GGUGCUUGGCAUCCAGUAGGUGCUUAACAGAGGGAAUCCACUGGAUUAAAAAGCCCUGCAGAAGCCAGGCAUGGUGGCACAAGCCUGCAGUCCCAGCAACUCAGGAGGCUAAGGUGGGAGGAUCACUUGAGCCCAGGAGGUCAAGGUAGCAGUAAGCUAUGAUUGUGCCACUGCACUCCACCCUGGAAGACAGAGGAAGACCCCAUCUCUAAUAAAUAAAAUAAAAUAAAAUAAAAUAAAAUAAAAUAAAAUAAAAAGCCCUACAGAAGUUCCUUGAGGACAGAGACCAUGUUUUAAUGACUUCGAUAUCUCCAGCAGCGAUCACCGGCCAGGGCACAUUGUAGACUGUCCAGAAACACUGAUGGAAUGCAUUUGAAUGCAUUUUCCUCUGGUUCUAUGUUCUGUCCUUCUGUUGUUCCCCAGCAGGAGAGUUCUCAUCUGACAUCCAGAAGAGGACGUUGGACUCGAGAAUUCUUGAGGGUUCUCCUGCUGGUAAACUUCAGCCAGCAAGCUGGAUCCUACUUUUGUAAAUGGGGUUUCACUGGGACAGCCACACCCUGGGUCUGUGUCAUCUAUGGCUGCUUUUGUGCUACGAUGGCAGAGUAGCUGCAACAGACGCCAUAUGGUCCCCAAACCCCAAAUAUUUACUAUCUGGCCCUUUACAGGAAGUUUGCAGACCCAUUUUUAAAGUAUUAAAGUUCUCCUGGGCUUAACCGAACGAGCUUUAGUGACUCCAACCUGAUGGAAACAAUUUUAGAACAAGCCCUAUCCUUGUCCCCACCCAUGGAUACCCACUGUCCUCUUCCAAGCACCCCUUUUCUGCCGGUGUCUGGAUAGCCGUGGCAGGGCAGCUGGGCUCUGGGAGCCAGUGUGGUGCAAUGGCGCCACCUGCUGUGAGUGCCUAGGAGCACUUCGCCUGGAAAGCUUUGUCCCCAAGGGCCGGGGGGGUCUCCCAUGGCCCGGGAACCAGUUUACAGGAGUAGACUCAGUCCACAGCACAUCAGAGCUGGGGUCUUGCCCCCUCCCUUCCUCAUUUGAGAGAGGCCUGCAGUCUAGAGAAGACGUGGGACUUGGCCAAGGAGGAGUGGAAAGCCCAAGCCCCAGGGGCCCAUGAAGUUCCAGGAGGCUGUGUGGAUGUCACGUGCAGCACGUGCACACACAGACGUACACAGACUUGGAUGUGAACCUCAGCCCGGCCACUUAAGCAGCUCUUUAUCUUUUCCAGGCUUUAGUCUCUUAGUUGUUAAAAGGAUUAAAAGAAAUGCUUAUAUAACAUUUAAUCUGUUACUAAUAAUGACUCAAUCUUCAAAAGGACUCUGAGAUAG
rnacentral:lncRNA from 1 species